CGUCUAUAUACGUAUAGCAUAUCAAUAAGCGGAGGAAAAGAAACUAACUAAGGAUUCCCUUAGUAACGGCGAGUGAAGCGGGAAGAGCUCAAAUUUGAAAUCUUCAAGGUUUUACCUUGACGAAUUGUAGUUUAAAGAAGUGUUUUCUGUUGGAGUUUUGGUAAAAGUUCUUUGGAAUAGGACAUCAUAGAGGGUGAGAAUCCCGUAUUUGACCAUUAUUUCCAGCUGUGUGAUACACUUUCAAAGAGUCGGAUUGUUUGGGAAUGCAGUCCAAAAUGGGUGGUAAAUUUCAUCUAAAGCUAAAUAUUGGCGAGAGACCGAUAGCGAACAAGUACCGUGAGGGAAAGAUGAAAAGAACUUUGAAAAGAGAGUUAAACAGUACGUGAAAUUGUCAAAAGGGAAGCGUUUGACACCAGUGUUGUUUUCUCGAAAAUCAAUCAAAAAUGAUGGGAUUUUGUGUUGUAUUGACUUUAUCAGCUUUCUGCACUUUUUUCUUAUCCUUUUUUAAUGCACUUUUCGUUUAACAAGUCAACAUCAAUUUCUUUUGUUGUAAAAGAGUCAUUGGAAGGUGGCUUUUUCUUCGGAAAAAGUGUUUAUAGCCUUUGGCUUCUGCAAUCGGAGAGAUUGAGGUCUGCAGCGUAGAUCCUUCGGGGUUAGAUACAUUUGUGCUAAGCUAUAGUUCUUUAUAGACAACUUGUUGACUAUAAUCAAUCCUGUAACUUACUCGCUUAUGCUAUUUUACCUACGCUUAGGAUGUUGAUAUGCAUGACUGAUAU
rnacentral:rRNA from 1 species